rnacentral:rRNA from 1 species
UGGGGAAUUUUGGACAAUGGGCGAAAGCCUGAUCCAGCAAUGCCGCGUGUGUGAAGAAGGCCUUCGGGUUGUAAAGCACUUUUGUCCGGAAAGAAAUCCUUGGCUCUAAUACAGUCGGGGGAUGACGGUACCGGAAGAAUAAGCACCGGCUAACUACGUGCCAGCAGCCGCGGUAAUACGUAGGGUGCAAGCGUUAAUCGGAAUUACUGGGCGUAAAGCGUGCGCAGGCGGUUUGCUAAGACCGAUGUGAAAUCCCCGGGCUCAACCUGGGAACUGCAUUGGUGACUGGCAGGCUAGAGUAUGGCAGAGGGGGGUAGAAUUCCACGUGUAGCAGUGAAAUGCGUAGAGAUGUGGAGGAAUACCGAUGGCGAAGGCAGCCCCCUGGGCCGAUACUGACGCUCAUGCACGAAAGCGUGGGGAGCAAACAGGAUUAGAUACCCUGGUAGUCCACGCCCUAAACGAUGUCAACUAGUUGUUGGGGAUUCAUUUCCUUAGUAACGUAGCUAACGCGUGAAGUUGACCGCCUGGGGAGUACGGUCGCAAGAUUAAAACUCAAAUGAAUUGACGGGGU